rnacentral:rRNA from 1 species
CACCGGCGGCUCGAGUGGUGGCCACUUUUAUUGGGUCUAAAGCGUCCGUAGCCGGCUUGGCAAGUCCCCUGGGAAAUCUGGCGGCUUAACCGUCAGGCGUCCAGAGGAUACUGCCAGGCUUGGGACCGGGAGAGGUGAGAGGUACCUCAGGGGAAGGGGUGAAAUCUUGUGAUCCCUGAGGGACCACCAGUGGCGAAGGCGUCUCACUAGAACGGGUCCGACGGUCAGGGACGAAAGCUGGGGGCACGAACCGG